GAUGAAGAACGUAGCGAAAUGCGAUACGUAAUGUGAAUUGCAGAAUUCAGUGAAUCAACGAAUCUUUGAACGCAUAUUGCGCUCUCUGGUAUUCCGGAGAGCAUGCUUGUUUGAGUAUCAGUAAACACCUCAACUUCCAUAUCUUUUUUGAAAUGGGAGUUGGACUUGAGUGAUCCCAACGCUUUUCCUCACCGAAAAGUGGCGGGUUACUUGAAAUGCAGGUGCAGCUGGACUUUUCUCUGAGCUAUAAGCAUAUCUAUUUAGUCUGCCUAAAAAACAGAUUAUUACCUUUGCUGCAGCUAACAUAAAGGAGAUUAGUUCUUGUGCUGACUGAUGCAGGAUUCACAAAGACAGGCUUCGGCCGACUUUGUAAACUCGAUCUCAAAUCAAGUAAGACUACCCGCUGAACUUAAGCAUAUCAAUAAGCGGAGGA
rnacentral:misc_RNA from 1 species